rnacentral:pre_miRNA from 1 species
UUUGAAGAUAAUUGAUUUAUGUUUGGAUACAUUAUCCUUAAAGUGAUUCUUAUCAAUUCAUGUUGUUUGGAUAG